rnacentral:rRNA from 1 species
AUUCCAGCUCCAAUAGCGUAUAUUAAAGUUGUUGCGGUUAAAAAGCUCGUAGUUGGAUUUCUGCCGAAGACGACUGGUCCGCCCUCUGGGUGAGUAUCUGGCUCGGCUUGGGCAUCUUCUUGGAGAACGUAGCUGCACUUGAUUGUGUGGUACGGUAUCCAGGACUUUUACUUUGAGGAAAUUAGAGUGCUCAAAGCAGGCUAAAAUGCCUGAAUAUUCGUGCAUGGAAUAAUAGAAUAGGAUGUCGAUCCUAUUUUGUUGGGUUUCGGGACUCGACAUAAUGAUAAAUAGGGACAGUCGGGGGCAUUUGUAUUCAAACGACAGAGGUGAAAUUCUUGGACCGUUUGAAGACAAACUACUGCGAAAGCAUUUGCCAAGAAUGUUUUCAUUG